AGUUUAACCUCUCCCAGGAAUGGAAUCUUUAACCAGUCAAUCAGGAGCUGCCUGAUCAGCACUAGCGAGCUCAUUCAACCGUGUAUACCAGGAAAUGGAGUGGAAUCGGAAUUUACAGGAGGGGUUUCUCUUGGCUGUGCUUGAACACCCCAUCUGAGAUGCAGAGAUGCUUUUCGGUGCAAAACAAAGAAGUCAGCAAAUGAAGGAAAAAAAAACCUGACCUUUUCCUGGUAGGCUGUAGAGAACCAGCAAUGACAGACCUCAGGAUUGAGGAGGUCUUGGGAAGGGCGAGACAGAUUCUUAUCUUGACUCUUGGCUUCUUGACUUCGGAGACCCGGGAAUCAGGCGAGAAUUACUUCACCUCUUACACUGGGCACCACCCAGCCACAGCCCAGGAGGAAGGUUGCAGAUUGGGCUGGAAACUCGCCACCCAGAGGAUCCACCAUCCUGAAGCCAAACGCGGACGGGAAGGAGGCCCAGGGAGGCUUACCUUGACAUAAAAUCGUCUUGCUUGUUCCCUGACCGACUCCUUCUGGUGGAUGGGACUCAAAAUGCUGAAGGGAGAAGCCGACGGUCUCCUAGAUUAGGUGACACCCAGAUAAGUGAGGCAGGAAGUUUGCUCUAAAAAGGGGCUCCUGGAACUUGGGGGAAGCUAGCACCUGCAUUGCCAUGGGACAUUUUGCUUGAGAGAAUUACUAUUCCAAUACACUCAGUUUGGCACAGAAUGAGAUACAGUGUGCGAAGGGCACUUGCGAGAAGAAAAAGUUUUCUUUUCAGGAAUGCAAACAUUACACUAGCACAACA